GUGCUUGCUUCAGCAGCACAUAUACUGAAAUUGGAACAUUACAGAGAAGAUUAGCAUGGCCCCUAGUCAAGAUUGGCAUGCAAAUUCAUGAAGCGUUCCAUAUUUUU
ensembl:snRNA U6 U6 spliceosomal RNA